rfam:Setaria italica strain Yugu1 chromosome VI, whole genome shotgun sequence.
AAGCUGAAGGUGAGUAUUGGAUGGAACCAAAUCUGCAGCUAUGCACAAGAUUUGGUUUCCUCCAAUGUCUCAUGUUCAGUUG